GUAGUCUGCAACCCGACUACAUGAAGCCGGAAUCGCUAGUAAUCGCGGAUCAGAAUGCCGCGGUGAAUACGUUCCCGGGUCUUGUACACACCGCCCGUCACACCAUGGGAGCCGGAAAUGCCCGAAGUCUGUGGCCCAACCUUAACAGGGGGGAGCAGCCGAAGGCAGGUCCGGUGACUGGGGUGAAGUCGUAACAAGGUAUC
rnacentral:rRNA from 1 species